UUGAAAGUGAAGCUGUUUUCAUUAAAAAAUACACAUAAUUACAUUAUUUGUGACAUUAUAAAAAAAACAAUGCAAAACUCAGUGUCUCCCACUAUUUGGAAAUGUGAUUCAAUCAAGAUUCAUGGUUUUAUUCUCCAGUCCCAUUUAACAAAUGUAUCCUCAUGUUCUAUGCUUUUCCAGCUCUGAAACCCUUCUUGAGUCCCCUUCUGUCCAGCAAUUUUAUUAGGAGUCUCCUGAACAUAAAGGCUCCCAGACAUGUGUUUAUGUUACCUAUCUUUUUUUCUUUCUUUUUGGUUAAUGUUUUCCACAUGCCACUGGCCCAUUUUAUGAAAUAGUUUCCUUUUUCUGUUCUUCUUGCCUCCAUGUCCUACUGUUCUGAAUAUAGCCAUUCUCUUUCAUGGUAUCUGCCACUGAGAGUGUUUAAUGUAUAUGUUUUUCAUUCAAAAAUUUAUUUCUCAGAUAAAUAAUGGCACUUGCAAUAUAGUCUAGGAUCACAGAGCAAUAAUCCUCCCUACACCAUAUGUUAUAAAUAUUUUAACUUUAAAAAUAGGGUUUAAAAACAGGGAUUCAAUUGACAGAGAAACAGCCUAUUUGAAAUCUGUUACUCAUACAGACAUCAAGCAACAUUACACAUUUUCACUUGCUAUUAGCUGUUUGUUAUUUGGAAAACCUUUUACAUGGAUAAUCAACCAUGUGAGAAUUACAAGGUACUUUACAAAUUCAUUUAUUAAAGCAGAUUUUCACAGAGUGUCUCCAGAAAGAAGGCAAAUGGAAGGAGGAGGUAUUCAUACACAAAAACGGAGACCCUGAGCCCUCCAGUGUAAUGCAGACAAAAGCACACCUUCAUCUGACAAAUGAAUGAAUUAUCCUAAUCUGAAUGCAAUCUCAAUUCAUUAUUUGGCCCACAAUAUAACCACAACCCUCUUAAGAAGUGUAAGGACUAAAUAUUUUCCCUGUAUCCUGUCCUGAAAUGAGAGGAUUUUUUGUUUGGUUUUGUUUUGUUUUUGUUAUUAGGACUGAGAAUCCUUCAGCCAGAGCUGUCAAAUUCUGUGGUUACUGACUGAAGCAGUUUCCCAAGCAGCUUUCAAAACUGCUGCGAAAUCUGUCAGUGAAGACACAGCUGUGGUGAUUCUAUACUCUGCACUGCUCACAUGAGUGUGUGUCUUUUUUCUGGGCUGGGCUUCAAUCCCCAAGGAAUACCCGCUCUCUUUCUACUCCCUAGGGACCACAGUGUGAUACAGAAAGCAUUCUGCUGGAGGAAUCAGACAGGGUCCAGGGAUAGGUUGGACACAGCCUGAAAUAAAGGCAACUCAGUUUUUUUUUUUUUUUUUUUUUUUUUUUUUUUUUUAAUGACAGCUAAGUAGACAAUAAUCUUUAUAUUGCCUUACUUGUAGGUUGUUGUGGGUAGAAAGUUUCUGAAGUUUAUGAGUUUUUCAAGUUUUUGCUUUUUUUUCUUUUUUUCUUUGUUUCUUUCUUUCUUUCUUUCCUUUUCUGGUACUGGAAAUUGAAUUCAGGACCUCACAUUUGCCAAGCAGGUGCUUAUGCAGCUGAGCUUGGUCCUGGACCCACUAUUUUGACUUUUAAACAAUAAACUUUUCAAAACUUUUCAAAAUAAAAAGCCACCCCACUUUAAGAAAAUUAUGCUUACAAUACCAAGAUAUUCUAUAAAACAUCUGUUGCCAAACUGAAACAGCAAAAUAAUUCACGGUAGAAAGGUAAAGGUAAUAUUGUUCCAAAUAUUCAGAGUAGAAUCCCAAUGUGAGUUUAUUUUGAAAGGUUUGAGAAAUAAAUAUGUCUAAACGUGUGCUAUUUGCAUCCUAAUGACACUAUCAAAGCAAUUCAAAAGAAUCACGUUUGCCUGGGACACCUACAGCUGUGGAAUCUGCCCUCUCCAGGGUUACUUAGCAAACCUCUGUGACAAUGAAACUUAUGGAUUUGGGAAGCCAGGGAAGUUCUUUUUUUGGAAGGGGGAUGUUGAGCCUUUCACCAAGCAAAGUUACAAGAUCCUCAUACCUUUAAAAUUUAGGAGCUACUUUGAUUUUGGUAGAGAGGGAUUAGAAACUAUCUCUACUAAAAUCGUUCAUUCCAGUACUAUAGUGACCUUCAUUAGUUGAUGCCUGGCUAUUUCCCGGCCAUCAUAGUCAUAUUUUUCAGUUGUUCAUUUGAUAGAUUAUUUUCUUGACUUGUGUUCUUCAGGCUCUUGAUGUUUCUCAAAUCGUACUACCAUUCCAUCUGGAAAUGGCAUCUUCUGAUUUGGCAAAGUGUAGACAGUUGAAAGCAGAUAUUUAUUUAUCUGUAUUUCCUAACAGAAAUUACAGGAAAAUGGUUGCUCCUGAAAAGUGUGGAUGAAGGGAGAAAGUAACUGCCAACUUUUCCAGGCAAAUGAUAAACUUAUUUAAAUUGGUUGCGUUUCUAAAACUGUUAAAUUUAAGCAACUAGAUCAUGAGACUAUUAGCAAUAUGGGGGAAGAGAUUUGAGUCUUCUGAAGUGAUCAGUAAUUUUCUUCCUGCCCUCUUAAAGACAGUAAACCAAUAUAUAAAUAUAUCUGGUUUACGAAAAAAAAAUAGAUUUUUCAAUUUGCUCAUGCAUUUUAGUCUCAUUUCUUGACACAUGGCAGUCUCUUUACGUUGUCACUUCUUACUUGUCUGAAAUCUUUCCCUUUCUGAGACUGGGAUGACCAUGGUUUCCAAUAACACAGGAAUAAGGAAAGGACAUUUCCAUCUAUGGAGCCCGUAUGCUUCUUCCAAUUGGAAAGCAAACAGAAAGGUUGCUAAUAUAUUUUCCUGGGAUGCAAGGAGUAGACUAGUUUGUAAAUGAAAAAAGUAAUGAAUAUAAUCUCAUAAAUUAGGCAGCUAAAUAUAUUAUAUUGCUUAAACAUUGCCUUCAAUUUUAGGUAAGUACAGAGGAUACCUUUAUUUCUCAAAAUCAGAACUUCCAGCAUCUAAAUUGAAAUUUGCUAUGGUAUCUGAAACAAUCAUGUGUUUCUGUUUCCUGCAAUUCUCUAUUUACCAUGUUCAAAAUAUCUGUAAAUAUGAUAUUUACAAAUGUGAGUCUGAUUCAUUUCACUUACGAGGAUGAUCUUAAGUUGUCAUCAUUUACCUAUAAAAGCCUCAAGAUCAUCCUUUUUUAUAGCUGAGUAAUAUUUGAUUGCAUAAAAAUACCAUAUCUUUUUCAUUCAUUCUGUGGUUGAUGGGCAUUUUGGUUAUUUCCAAGAUUUAAAUAAUUAACAAUAAUAAUAAUAAAGUGAAAGAGUAAUAUGAUUUAAAAUGUAUAAUACAUAUUGUAAUAAUGAAAGGGAUAGAAAGUACUCAGAAAGAACAACUUGCAGAUAUACACAUAUAACUAUAUGCAUGUUUAAGUGUACAAGACAGAUAACCAUACUACUAAGUUUUUGUUAGCACAUGAAACAGGAUAGUUUUUGCUGUCAUUUUUUUUUUUUUUUUUUGGUCUUUUUCCUUUUUAUCGGUACCAGGGAUCGAACUCACUACUGCCUGCUUGCAAGGCAGGCGCUUAUGCCGCUGAGCUAAAUCCCCAGCCCCUGGUGUCAUUGUUUGAUUGUUGACUUUUUAUGCUUUGAUUGUGUAACUUGAACAACUACUUCUAAGAUAACAAUAUGUAAUAUAGCAAUUACUGAUGAUUUAUUAAUAUUAUUUUUUGAAAUGCUGUAUCAGUUCUAUCCUUUUUUCUGUUUUGCUUUUUUAAUUAAAAAUAAAAUAAAAAUGAUAAAAAAAUUUCUGAUUACUGUUAGAUUCCCUUUGUACAAUGAGAUAAUCAUCAAAGAUCUUUAAAGUCUGCUUUGUUUCUUUUUACAAAUUAUUUUAUUAACAAGUAAUACAUGUACAUGGUUCAGAACUCAAGGACACUGCAAGAAAUACUGUGUACAAUAGCUUCUUUUUCUUUUCUUUUUUUCUUGACAUUUGGUUCACCCUGUAGAGGUAAAGACUGCUACCAAUUUUUAUUGCAUCUUUUCUUGCAUAUGCUGUGCAUACUAAAUUCCCUAUGGAGAUCCCUUUAAUUCUUUUUUUUUAUUUCUUCACAUUAUUAAUAUAUUUUGCAGUACAUAAUGAUUACAUUAUUGUGGAGAGUUGGUACACAUACAUAAUACAUCUUAAUGCACUCUUCUUUUUAAUCACCUAACCAUGUUCCCUCCAUGCUUCUUCCAACUCGCUCCUCUUCCCAUUUCAGAAGCUCUAUUUUAAUUUUUCUUGCAUUCUUUUUUUCUUAUCCCUUUCGUCAUCUCUUCCCUUAUCUUUGACUUUGGUUUCCACUAUCCAUUUGAAAAAGAUCACCUUGCUUCCUGUUUAUCGAUCUUUCAGUUUGCUCUCACUCCUUACCUCUUUUCCUCUUUUCCUCUCUUUCCCCUUUCUUUUUCUCUCUAUGUCUCUCUCUCUCUCUGUGUCUCUUAAUUUGCCUGUCUCUCUAUGUCUACCUGUAUGUGCAUAUACUUAUAUGCGUAUAUAUAUGUAUAUAGAGUGAGUUUCUCAUAUAAAAGAAAUCAUGCUGUGUUUGUUUCAUUUUGUCUAUCUCAUUCCAUUUAAUAGUAUCUUCUUAAGUUGUAUUCAUGAUUGCAUGAAGUUUACAGCAGAGAAGUACUCCACUGUGUGUAGGUACCAUAUUUUUCUUUUAUCCAUUCAUCUAUUAAUGGGCAUAUAGUCCAUUUUCAAGCUAUUAAAAUUUGUGCUGUUUUCGACAGUGAUAUGCAUGUAUCUCUGAAAUUCUCUGACUUGAACUCUUUUGGAAAGAUAUAGCAGGCGUUUAAAAGGGGAAUAUCUGGGUAAAACUGAAUUUCAAUUUUAAAUUUUUUCCUCAUGCUGAUUUCCACAGUGUUUGUACUAGUUUCCAUUACAAUCAACAAUGUAGAAGAGUUUCUUACGCCUUGAUAAUCACCUUUAUUCUUCACUGUGAUCAACCUCUCCAAACUGUUUUACUCACUUUAAAUACCAGUUAAGUGCUAUAACUUCCUCAAUUGAAUAAUCACUUGAUGAUGUACUGUGGUGAAAAACUGUUGCCCCAUCAUAAGUAGAGGUUAAAAAAAAAAAAACUAUCAUAGACCACUCUGGGAGGGGAAAUGUUAUGAAAUCUCUCAGCAUCCAUCAUGAAGACUAUAGAGAACAUAUCUGCAAGAAAAGACAGACUAAUAAAAGACAAACUUGUUUGAUGAAAGUUUUAUAUAACUUAAGACCCUUCAGAAAUGAACACCCCAAAGGCUGUGGAAUAUUGUCUAUUUGUAUGUUCAGGUUUGAUGAAGAACGGACAACCCUGUGGAAAUAUAAUUGGAGAAAAGUGGUCAACAUGGUGGUAGAAGACUACGAAGAGAAAAACCAUAAGAUCUCUCCAUCCAGAUCCUUCCUGUCCUUUCUGAGUAGCAUUCCCUCCUUGCAAGUGUGCAACAGGGUCUUUCCGGAUUUAAAAUUUCCAGGAUGAAGCAAGCAGAAAGCUAGCAACCUUAUUAUGAACCUUGUCUGUGAGAAAGAAGGGUCCUAUUACCUAUGUCUGCCUUGAGGCGGAGGAGCUCUGUUUCUAUGCUUGCUUCUGGGGAUCAAAGUGGGAGACAGGCAAGAGGUGAGAGAAAACUUCUCCUGAGGCUUUUCAGUCUCCUUAACAUUGAAGUACACAGCAUGGCAAAAUAUCAUGCUUCCGAGUAACAUUUUCUGAGCCCUGAUAACAGAAAUGUCAUGUGAUUAUGGUAGAGAAACUGAACCAAAAAGAAAUAUAUUAAAAUGUAACAACUUAUUUCAGCAACUGCAGUUUUUUUCCCCCAAUAUAUUAAUGCAGUAGUUUAAGGAUUGCAGUUGAUAUCUUCAUAGUAGUUCAGAAGCUAGAACAUGAGGAAACUUUUUUGGAUGAACAGUAUGAAUUGAAUCUUGAUCAUUCAAUACUCUUAAUUUGUUACAAAUGUCUACACUGCUACUUAUUGAAGCUGAAGAAAACUUGAAGAGUUCCUAAGCAUCACUUGCUUUUAGCUACUUUCUUUUACCACCAAUUUCAGAGGCUAUGCUGUCAGAAGUAUGGCCCUAUUAGUUUUGUUAUUGGUAACACUUCUGACCUGUGGGCAAAUUGCAACAGGUGACAAUUUUUUUUCAUGGGAGAUAACUCAAACUGGUUGAAACCACUGAUCAUUCUCUUGGAAUUGCUAGGUGUCAAAUGGGUGAACUUUUGGUGUCCGAAGAUCAAAAUUUAAUCCAUGAAAUGCACUAAUACUACAAUUUUCUGUACAUAUAUCCUUUGAAGAGCCAUAAAAUUUGAUUAUGCAUAUGUAGAACACUGAUUAGUUCAAUUUUCCUUACUCCUAUCUUCCUGGCACCUUAGACCACUCCUACUCUUUAAUCCUAAAAAUAUGCCUAAACUCUUUCCUCAGGGAAGAAGAUUUUAGGGAGCUCUCCAGUGCACAUGAUCGCCACAGCAUGAGUGAUCUCUUUUACAAAAUUAUGGUUUCAGAAAUCAUCAUGCUAUAUAGUAGGUGAAAUAGACUUGGCUCAAUAAUAAUAAUAAUAAUAAUAAUAAUAAUAAUAAUAUAGUUUUACUUGAAAAAGAUUCUAAAUCAGUUUUAAUUAUUCUAUCAUUUCUUUUCAUACUGCCUUAGUGCAAUUUUUUACUCCCAGAGUGGAAGUCAAAUGUACAUGACUUUGAAGUUAAAUACAUGAGAUAUGAUAGAAAAAUACUGUGAAAGUUUAAAUAUAAACAUUGAACUUAUUACAAUAAAAAACACAUUAUCAUGAGCACAUUUUUCAACUUUCUGAAGCAGUUUGGGAAAUCCUACUUUGUGUCUUUAGCUGUGGUAUGGCAGCUCUCUCAAUGUCCUCAACUGAUUCAAAACAUUUAAUUUUUGGUCAUUUUGACACUGGGAAAGAAUCAGAAGUUUCUCAGAACCAGAUAAGGUAAAUAAGAUGGAUGAGAAAACACUGUAAUUCCUUUUAUUUGAUAGAAAUUAACCUAAACAAAACUAUAACCUGCUUCAGAAAGUGGUGAGAACCCUGAGACAAGUGUCCUUGAAGUGAAGAGUUGUAUUUUAGAGGAAGAUUGAUACAAUGUUUACUUCAUUACAAUGCAUUUUUUAUUAAAACAUUCACCUCACAUUAUGAUCAUGCCUUGUAGGGUUCAGUUUCAUUUGUUCGUUUUGUUAGCAAUCUUAACAAAGAAUGUAGUAGGAAGAUGAAGAAAAAUUACCACAAAUGAAUUGAAAGGAUGUUAUGUGCAUUCCUAUUGGCUGUACUGUUACAAGAAGAGAGACCAGAACUAGUGAUGCACUUGUGCCAUCCCAGCUGGUCAAGGGGCUGUUGAAGGAAAAUUGCAAAUUUGAUGUUAUCAUGGGCAGUUCAGUGAUAUUGUCUCAAAAUAAAAAUUAAAGAGGGGGGGAAGAUAUAGCUCAGUAGCAAGCAGAGCAUUUGCUUAGCAUAUGCAUGGCCUUGAUUCAAACCUCAGUACUACAAAAUAGGGAGGUAGAAAGGGGAUUCUUAAACAUUAUAAAGUAUUAUUCUCCCUUUGUUUCCUUGAAAUUCAAGGCAGCACUGUAAUCAGUGAUACAACUUUCUGCCUCAGAGCAUGUCUAUGUAGAGAUUAGGUACCUUGCAGAAGGCACUUACACAGAAAGAACAAAUGCAUAAGAGGAUUAUGCAUAAAAACAAUAGCUGCAUAAACCAGACUAUUGCCUUGAAAAAGGAUUUCCCCAAAUUGCACGUUCUCCUUCUUUAGUAUAACAAAAAUUCAACAUUAAUUUUCUGAAAUUUUUGAUGCAGAAAAGUUUCUUUUUCUCUGCUCCAGGCAGAGAAAACUGGCUUGUUGCUGCUAGGUAAACAGCCCAUGGUUUAGGGUAGUGUAAAAAAAUCUUCUAUGUACCUUUGAAGAAACAAAGAAGAAAAAGAUGAUCAGGCAGUCAUAAAUCCGAGCUUUGGCCUGGAGGAGAAAAGCAUAAUAAAUAAAGUAGGAUAGGACCGAUAGAGAAGAUACUUUGGAAGACACUUUUAAAGAAAUCUCAAGAUAUUUAAACUUAUUCAAAGAAAACACUACUGCUAUAUUUUGUUUAUGUCACCAAGAAUUUAUAUUAAUUAAAAUGUUUUUGCUGAUUGUAAUAUCUAGUAUCAUUAUAUGGUAGAUAUUCAAAUUUGCUUAAACAAUAUUUUAAAAAACGAUAUUUAGAUAAUUUCUCUGCUAAAAGUACAACUUUCCUACAUAGCUGAUACUUUUCAUUAAGUCACAAGAGAAAAAAAAAGCUAUGAUGCAUUUGUUUUGUUAUGUUGUUUUGGCAAUAUUUGCUUUUGGAAUGAAAAAUCUAUAGCAUAAAGGAUAUUUAUAGAUCAUCUCUAAAACAAAGAAAUCGUAAGUUUACAAAUAAAUAUUCUGGAGGCAGUUUAAAUAAUUAUCCAAUAGAGUAAGUAAAUAUUUUUCUUAUUAAAUAUAAUAAGUAUUUGAAGAAAAAGUGAACUGUGUGGCAGUUAUUACUAUUCUCAACUGAAGCCAACUGAAACUCAGGCUUACAUCUGUUUGUCCAAGGCUGGAGCAGUAUAGCUAUGAGAAAUUUCAUGGCACCCAGUGAGUGAUGCACAGGUGUUGUAUGAGUCUUUAAUGACAGCUGUUUUCCCAAAGGAUAGGAAAAGAAGAGACCAAGCAAGAUUUUAAAGCAACUCAGUGUUCCAUGUACUUUAAACAUAAUAUAGAAUGCACAAAACUAUGAUUGAGUAGGUUUCCAAGGUGUUCACUUAAUUGUAAAGUACAACAGGAAUCUGGGAACUACGAGUGCGCUUUGUCCGUAUGUUUAUUUUGAUUCCUUUCUGCCCCCUACUCUGUUAAUUCCUCUGCCUCAUUCUGAUGCAACAGGAGACAGUUGGCAAGUGACACAGGGGACUGUACUGCAAAGUGAAGCAAGAUUAGAGUGGAAUGAAGUGUUAAAGGUUUCUUUUUAAAAUACAUCGGACAUUCACACCCAAGUUUCCAAAUCAUUGAUCAGUGUAUUCAGUACUUCCGUCAAGAAAGUGAAGAAAUAUAUUAAUGGGUGUCAGAAAACACAUUACUAGGAUCCACUCCCGAGCCAAUGGUCCUGUGAAAUGGCAAAAUUCAACUGUGAAAGACACAUCUAGGAGACCUGUGGUGUCUGUUUCUGAACAGUUUUUGCAGGAAACUUACAUAAAUUAUUUGGUCUUCAUCAUUGACUCCUUAAUUCAUAAUACAUAGAGUUUGUAAUUUUAUUUGUGAUAGGUCUACAGAUAAUACUGAAAUAAAAGAAAAAUAGGAGAGUGUUCAGAACUGAGGAUUGAAACUAGAGCCUUGAGAUUACACACAUUCCAUUUAUUUCAUUUUAUGUUUUAAAUUUAAGUCAGGAUUCCUGCUAAGUUUCUAAUUUUCCCAGACUGGGUUCAAAUUUGUGAUUCUUGCACUUAAGCUACUCAGAUUGCUGAGAUUACAGGAGUAUGUCACCAUAUCUGACCGAAAAUUAGAGAUAGCUUUUCUUUCAAAUUCAAAUUUUUGUUGUUGUUGUUGUUCAGGGGAUUGAAUUCACGAUCUUGUGUUUGCCAGGCAGGCACCUAUACCUCUGAGCUAAAUCCCCAGUCCCCAGAGAUUUUUUAAUAGCUGCAAAUAAGAAAUGACAUUGGAAUGAGUAGAAUAUAUUUAAAACAAGAGAUGUAAUCUAAGAAUAGCACCAAAAUGGCAGAGUGGUAAGCAGCAGAGAAAGAGCCUCUCUGAAAGCUGCCAUACAGAUGCUGGAGUAAAGCAUUGUGAGGAAGACAGGAAGGAGGAAAGCAGGUCCCCUGGGCCCAGGAAGGACUUGAGGUGAAUAUUGAAGCCCAUAUAGACAGUGAAAAGAUAAACUUCAAUGAGGAAGAAGGAGGUAGCUCGCAGAGCCUUCUCCCUGAACCAAGAUUCAUUGUAAGAGAGGAGCAAUUCAAAAUCUUCAGACACAAGGUAACUGCUGGUGGCCCCAGAGACUUGUAAAGAAAGAUGCAGCAGUGGAGGGAAGCAGUAUUCGUGAAUGAAUACACUAGCUAAGGGUGAGUGUUGAGGUCUCAGCAAUUCCACAUGAGAAAUUGAUUGGCCAGGAGCCAUCUUGGAAAGGGCCCAGGUGAGCUUAGAACUCAGAGCAACUGCUGGCUCCAUCUAGCAGCUCCCAGCUUGGCUCAGAUCCAGCACAGAAGAUGUGCUGACUCUUUUAGGCUAAAUGAAUCUGCUCUCAGCCCACACAACCAGAAUACAGACUGAACUUCAGAGAAAAUAAAGGUACAGUCUUGCUGAGAUUACCCACUACUCCACCUUAACGCUACUGUUGGUUUGCUGGGAUAAAUAAACACAGAUCGGGACUCUGUCUCUACAUGUUGUCUACCAGUGACAUCAGAGACAACCUGGAGUUGGACAUUUUUCUCUCAUUUUGUUAUUGUGGUGGUUUUGCUUUCAUAUUUUGUUCUUAUUUUUGUUCUUUAUUAUUUGGCCUUGUUUUUAUCAGUGUGAAUAUAGUAUCUAGCCUCUGUAUGAUUGUUGGUCUAUUCUUCCUUCUAUUUCUUCCUUCUGUCUUUUCCUCCAGUCUUCCACAGCAGUUACCCAAUAUUAGCAUGAUAGCCUUUGUCCUCCAGUCUUACUUCUAAUCUCUUUCUCUUCUUCUAUUUCUAUAUCUUUUUUCUAAUCCCUUUUAAAUUUUAACUAGUGAGGGCAAAAUUGACAUAUUAAGGACAUAUAUAUAUAUAUAUUGCAUAUAAUUUUUUGGUUUGAUUUACAUUUUAUUAUAUAAUCGUGAAUCUAGUUAAAAUGGUUAAAUUAAUUGUUACCUCAAUUUGGCAAAUUCUAGGAUGUGUUUGACGCCGUUAUUGCUGAUAGCACCACUGGAGCCAAAAGUGAUAUAAUUGUUCUAACCAGCUGUUUUUUUCUGGUAUUCUAAAACUUAAAUUGACUAAGGGUCAUAGAAAAUACUAUGGGACAGUGCCAAAGAACCAGGAACUAGACCAAGAAGGCAGCAAUUGUUCAUCCCCAAUAAAUUGAAGACAUAAGAGCUUGUAAAAGAUGCAAAACCCAGAAUCCAGCUACACAUGGAAGACAUCUUGGAGAAGUAAUAAUUUCUUUGGAGUUCUAAAUACUAGCAAUAAACAACUCAUCAUAGGCAAUUUACAAACAUCAACCCAGGAAUUAAAUUCAAAAAAAAAAAAAAAAAAAGAGAAAGAAACAAAGAAAAGAGGAAGGAAGAAAGAAAAAGACAAGACAAGAAAAUAAAAGAAACUGAUAAAACACAUAAAAAGAUGCAAAAUAAGACCUUAAGUUCCCCCCAAAAAAGCUAGAACAGAACCAAACUUUUGAACAAACGGACUAAGUAGAUAUCUACAAGAGUGUUUCACGCUACAACAUCAGAAUACACAUUCUUUUCAGCUGCACAUGGGACAUUUUCUAAAAUAGACUACAUGCUGGCUCAUAGAACAUGAUUAAUUAAAUGCAAAGACAUUGAGAUUAUUCUAUGCACAUUAUCAUAUCAUAGCACAAUGAAAUUGGAAAUCAAUGGCAAAAGAAACAAGAGCUUUGUAAAUACAUGGAAAUUAAGUUAUACACUUGUGAAAACCCAAUUGGCUACCGAUAAACUUAAAGAAGAAAUUAUACAGUUUCUAUAAUAAAUGAUAAUGGCAAUAAAACAUACCAGAACUUACGAUACAAAAUGAAAGCAGUCCUAUGAGGGAAAUUUGUAGCCAUGAGUAUCUAUAUCAGGAAAAGAGAGAAAUAAACAAUGUUGAAUAUCAAACUUCUAUAAAAAGAAGAGAAGACCAAGCCCAAAGCUCAUAUAAGGGAGGAAAUUAUAAAGAUUAGAGAAGACAUUAAUGCAUUGGAGACAAAGAAAACAAUUCACAGAAUCAAUGAAUCAAAGAGCUGGUUCUUGAAAGAGUAAAAUUGGAAGGGUAUGGAGACCCUGAAAGAGUGGUGCUCGAACAGCUUAGACUAUUCUACACAGGAGAUUUUGGUCAGAGCUCAGAAGGACAGAAGGCUGAUAGAAAGCCUUCAAGUAAAGACUGGGCUCAGAAGGUUUCUGCUGGAAGGAGGACUGAAUUGGUUGCUGGACUCCAUACACCAUGUGUGUUAUGGCUUGGCAGAAAGUUUGUUUGAAUUUUGCUCAUGUUCAGACACUUUGCCUGAGACUGAGAUUAAGGGCAGUGGACUGAUUAAUCUGGCAAAAGAAAUUUCAAAGCAGUCUAAUGUUGAAGUGGUGGCAUGGCUAUUUAGGGGGACUUUUAGCCAGAUUUGUGUUGCAAAUCAAGAGCAAAGAACCCAGUAGGGUGAUUUAAAAUGUUGUAAGUUUAGCCAGAAAGAAAGCUCCAAUAAAGCUGUACCUUACAUAUAGAUCUGAGACCUCAUUUGCUAAGAAAGAACAGAGAAAUAAAAAAGAGGCCUGAGGGCAUCUCAGGAAGCAACAGAUCUCCACCUCUUUACAACCUCAAAACUGCAAAGGUAAAAAGACUUUUCUCAGAGGGGAAAGCUGCAGAGUGCCAUGUUCCAGAGUGGUGGUGGUGGCCACAUGAAGUUCCAAAAUGGCAGUAGCAUAGAGUAGCUAUGUCUCACAGUUUGAUUGAGAAUGCUCAGUGACCCAUGCACUUGACUCCUACGGCCAAGAGAGAGGAAAUCCUGGCUACUGCUCCAUCUGGCAGCAGACUUUGGCAGCAUUCACAUUGCCCUAGUUUUAGGUGAAUGGAGAAUGCAUGAGUUCUAGGGUUAAGACAACUUCCACCUGACUUCAGAAGGUCUGGGAGGCCAGUGUGCCCCUGAGAGGGCAAUGUGUGAAGCUGUGAAUGUGAAGCCAAAGAUGCAGUGUAGACCCCAGAAGUUUGGAAAAGCCAGGAACAUGGAUCAUCUAAGGAAAGCUGCAAUACUGAGCAGAGGGGUUUAAGAGAGAAGCUGUGGGAGCUGAAUCCCUGGACAUGCCAUGGUGGUGGCAUCACUCAGGCCUUUUGGUGCUUGCAACCAGAUUGUUUCAGGUGCUGAGCAUAGGGCUCCAGGACUUAAUGUUUGCCCUGCUGGAUUUUGGACUUGCUUUAGUUUCAAUGCUUUAUAUUCACAUUUGUAACUUUUGGAAUGAAAAUGUUUAUCUGGUGCCAUUAUAUGUUGGAAGUGUUUAACUUUGGUUUCAUUUGUACAAGGGCUUGCAUCUACAAGUUUGCCUUAGAUCUCAGAAGAGGCCUGGGACUUGAACUUUUCAGCAAUGCUGAAACUAUUAGGACUUUUGGCAAUUCUUGAAAAUAGAUUAAAUAUCUUUUACAUAAAAGAUAUAUAUGAGUCUUUGGGGUUCCAGGGAUGAAAUGUUAUGAUUUGUGUCUAGGUGGCUCCCCAAGCAUCCUGUAAUCAUGGUUACUGCUGAGUCCAGAUUUGUGAUUGGUUUGUUGUCUAGUGCUGGGAUUGAUAGUGUGAGUUCUGUACCCGCCCAGGGGAGGAGCCAACAUAUGAUGUAAAAGUAGAAAGAAGGCAUGUUUUUUCCUCUUUGGCCCUGUUUGCUCUUGCUUUUUGCAGUGGCCUUGAAUGGCUGCCCCUCAAUCAUACCAUGAGCCAGCUGAGUAUAAACUGAAACCUUUAAAACUGUAAGAAAUAAACCUCUCUUUCCUUCAGGUUGGGCAUUAGGUAUUUUUUCCCAACAACAACAAAAAAGUAACCAAGACCAUUGACAAAGUCUUAGCCAAUCUUUAAAAAAAAAAAAGAGAGAGAGAGAGAAAUACUCAAAUUUAUGCAGUUGGGAAUAAAAAGGUAAAAUCACAAACAGACAUUGCAGAAAGUCAAAAGGUCAUCAGUACCCAAUUUCAGAAUUUGAAAUAAUAGAAGAAAUGGACAGAAUCCUGGAUACAUACAGAUUAUCAAAGUUGAAUCAAGAAGAUAUAAAAAUCCCAAAUAAGCCAAUAUCAAUCAAUUAAAUCAAAGACAUAAUAAAAAGAAAAGCCCAGGCCUUGACAGAUUCACAGAUGAAUUACACAAGAAAUUUAGAGAAGACCUAAUAUCACUAUUUUACAAACUGUAAUGAAAUAGAAAGGGAAGCAAUAUUUCAAAAUUCAUUCCUAGAAACAAGUACUACCCUGAUACCAAAACUAGAGUAGGACCCAACUAAGAAAGAGAAUUACAGGUUAGUCUCCCUAAUAAACAUAGAUGCAAACAUUCUCUAAGCCACUAGUCAACAGAAUGCAGCAAAUCAUCAAGAUCAUACACCAUGACCAAGUGGGAUUGACCCCCAUGGAUAGAGGGAUAGUUUGACAUACAUGAAUCAAUAUUGGUAAUACCCCAUAUUAACAGAGCAAGGACAAAAACCAUAUGAUCAUAUCAAUAGGUGCAGAAAAAGCCUUUGACAAAGUCUAGCACCCAUUCAUGAUAAAAAAUCCUACAGAAAAUCAGAAUGAUGGUAUCUACCUCAAUCUGAUAAAAACCAUUUAUUAAAAAAAUAGCCAACAUCAUACUAAUUGGACAAAAACCUGAAAGUGUUCUCUCUAACAUCAGGAGAAAGAUAAGGAUGUUUACUGUCUGCACUCUUAUUCAACAUAGUCCUGGAGAGUUUAGCCAGAACAAUUAUAAGAGAAAGAAAUAAAAGAAUAGGGAUAGGAAGGGAAGAAGCUAUAUUAUCAUUAUAUGUGGAUGACACGACACUUUACAAAGAAGGCCCCCAAACUGCACUAAAAAGUGCUAUACGUAAUAAGCAAAUUCAGUAUUGUAGCUGGUUACAAAGUCAGCACUCAAAAAUCAAUAACCUUCCUAUGUACAAAUAAAAACCUCAGUGAGAGAGAAAUUCGAAACAAUAAAUUUCACAGUAUCCCUCCAAAAAUGAAAUGCCUAGGAAUCAAUCAAUCUAAUAAAAGACAUAAAAUACCUCUACAUUGAAAAUUACAGUUCUCUGAAAAAGAAUAUCAAAAAAUGGGAAGAUAGUCCUUGCUCUUGAAUAAGAAAUAAUAUAGUGAAAAUGGCCAUACUUCUAAAACUUUUAUACAAAUUUAAUACCAUUCUGAUCAAAAUUCUAACAGUAAAUGUCACAGAAAGAGAGAAAACAGUUCUAAAAUUCAUCCAGAACCAGAAGAGAAUAACAAAUCCUGAGCAACAAAGACAAGAUGGAGGACACCAUCACCUCUGCUUGAAAUUAUAGUAUAAAACUUUUGUGAUAAAAGCAGUGUGGUGCUGGAAAAAAAAAAUAGACCCGGAGAUCAGUAGAAUAGAUUACAAGAUACAGAAACCCAAACACACUAAACCCCCUUAUCUUUGACAAAGUUGCCAAACACAUUCACUGGAAUAAAAAGACAACCUCUUUAAUAAAUGAUGCUGGAAAAUUGAAAUUGGACACAUUUCUUUCACCAUGCACUUAACUAAAUUUGAAAUGGCUCAAAAGUCUAAAUAUUGAAGCAGAAACAAUAAAUCUGCUGAAAGAUAAAAUAGGUGAAAUUCUUGAAGACAUUGGGGUAGGCAAAGACUUUAUGAAUAAAACACUGAUUACACGGGAACUAACACAAAGACUCAGCAAGUGGCAUGUUAUUAAAAAGAUUUUGGAAAGCAAGAGAAACCAUCAACAGAGUGAAAAGGCUGCUCACAAUUGGGAAAUAAUGUUUGCUAGCUGUUCCUUAGACAAGAGGUUACUAUCAAGGAUAUAUAACAAUUUUUUAAAAAUCAGAUCUCCCAAAUUCAAAGACCCAAUCCAAAAAUGGGCACCACAGAUGAAUAUACACUUUUGGGAUGAAGAAAUACAAACAGCAAAUAAAUCUAUGAAAAUGUUCAAUAUCUAUGGUCACUCAAGAGAUGCAAAUUCAAACAAAUCUAAGAUUCCAUUUCAUCAUGGGAAGAAUGGCUGUUAGCCAGAAAUUAACCAGUAACAAACGUUGAAGGGAAGGAACCUUUCUCCACAGCUGGUGAAGUGUAGACUGGUGUAGUGUUUAUGGAAAUCAUCAUGAAUAUUCCUUUAAAAACUAGAUUUGGAGGUCCUAUUUGAUCCAGUUAUUCCCCCUGGGUAUUUUCCCAGAAGAAUUAAAAACAUCAUACCACGAUGGUAUGUGCAUCCAUGUUUAUAAGUGCACAAUUUUUAAUAGCCAGAUACUAAAAACAACCCAAAUGCCCAUCAUGGAAGAAUGCAUAAAACAUAUGUGCUAUUUUUAUUCAAUGGAGUACUACCCAGUCUAAAGAAGGAUAAGCUUGACACUUUUGUAGGUAAAUGCAUGCAACUCAAAACCAUGCUUAUAAGUGAAAUAAAAGAUUCACAUAUGUAAGCAUGGCACAGUAUCCCUAGUGGGAGAACCUGAAAGAGCAAAUCAGACCAAAAAUAUACAAUAGAUAUUGUGAAAUGGGAAAAAACUUUUCAAAAUAAAACAGAAACUGUGAUGGAGGAAAGGAGAACAGAAGUAUAGAUGGGAAAACUACAAUUAGAUAGUUAAGAUAGAGUUAAAAUGAGAGUUAAGAUAGUUAUACUACUAAUUUCUCUUAGUUAAUUGAAAAGAAAGAUUUUUGUGAUAUUUUAGUCAAUUAAAUUCUCAUGUGUUGUACACUGAUAACUAAAGAUAACAAUAUGCAAUCUGUUAACCAUUGUUAUUCCCCUAUUAUCUUGUUUUGAAGUUUUAUUUUAUUUUUUUACUUUAAAAUUAAAAACUAUAACAAGAGAUGUUAAAUUUAAAUAUGUAUGUAUAUAGAUUUUUCCAAACAGAUGAAAGAGAAGUUAGGAGUGUAGUGACCCGUGGGAAAUUAUAGAUAUUCAUAAAAUGCAGACACUUUACCACAUUUUUCGGUCUAGUCCCUGCAUACUUUUCCAUCUUUAUUUCUUCUGCUGCUGGCCUGUCUUUAUAGGAUUUUGACUGGUACCAUAGCUGCCUUAGAUAUUUCAAUCAGCUAAAACAAAUUAUCAUAGAAUCUAUGUCUUAAACAACAAAUAUUUGUUUCUCACAUUCUGGAAGUAACGGUGCCUAAGAUUAAGUGCUAGCAGAUACCUGGAGAGGGUAAUGGCUGCCUUGUAUCCUCACAAGAGAGAGAAAAGAGAAAGAAAUUAAGCUCUGUGUUGCUCCUUCUAAUAAGGUCACUAAUUCUAUCACAAGGGCUCUAUUUUCACAGCCAAAUUACCUGAGCUCCAGCCUCAUUACUUAAUUACCCUCCAAAGCUUUCAUUUCUAAGCACUAUCAUACUGGCGAUUAGGACCUUAAUAUAUAAAUGUGGCACUGGAAUACGUCUAUGAGCAGAGGAAAUAUGUGCAAUGUGUGAUGGUUUUGACUGCUGAGCUUCUUAUUUGGGUCUUCGGUGAGACUCAAAAUGAAUACAGAUGUAGUGUGUUAUGUCAGUUACUGAGUAAAUACUGACAACUCCUAGACCAUCUUUUCCUUUUGAACCCGACUUUGCUUCAUGUGAAGAAAGAAUGCAUUUUUUGACAGUCUCAGUAGGUUGCCAAGACUGGUUCCCACUUUGUGAUCCUCCAAGAUCAACCUCCUUAGUGGCCUGGAUUGUAGACAUGUGAAACCACACCAGUUUGGCAAUAGCAUUCUGAGAAACCCAAAGGAUCAAAAAAACACUCAUUCUUUCUUACUCAUUCUCCUUAAAUGUGGUGAUCAUGUACACCAAAAAGAAUGAUGUAGAAAAACAGUAAAGAGGGAGAAACUCUUAGUUCAUUUUCCAUGUAGGUUUUCCCUUCUGAUUCAUUGGUGAAACUAGAGUGUUGGUAGAACGUGUUCAUCUCAUGAAGUGAAGUAAUAACAGUUGAGUUACUUUUGUGCAGCAUUUCUACUUUAAUAAAAAGAAUGAAAUGCACAUUAUUUUAUUUUGUUAUUUGUUACAUGUGAGAUCAAUGUGCAUAUGUCUGCAUUUCAAAGUGACAGUGCCCAAUAUGAAGAUAAUGAGAAGAUGCAAACUAGUAUUUUAAAAUUAAAGAUUAAAAUAUGGAAUGAUAUUUUCAAAUAGACUAUGGCAAAGCAGAAGAGAAAAAGAGAGAAAAAGGAAAUUAUGUGCAUAUUAGGACCUUUAAUGACAUUUUUUUCCUGUUUUUUGAGCAAGAGACAGCUCCAUUGUGUGGUGGGCCCCACAGAUCAUACAGCUGUCUCUCUAUUUCUGUGCUCCUCUUUGGCCACCACAUUAAUCUUUCUAUUUUAUAAACUCAGUAAUUGUUCUGUAUUCCAAUCUUUCCACCAAACUCUUUCAUUUGUCUACAGGACUCUCUUUCUUGCUCUUCAUCUGUGUAUGAGUCAAUGUACCAUUCCUGGCAUAGUAACAGACACCCAAAACUUAAAGAAGGAUAUGUUUAGUUUGGCUUACAUUUUAAUCAUUCUGUUGUCAGCUGAUUGAUUUCAAAGCAGAAAUAUCAUGGUGGAAACUGUUCAGUUCGUGACAUCUGGAGAGCAGAGAAGGAGAAUGGUGUUGAAGGGGAGGAGGUAAGAGACUAGAUACAGUAUUAAUGUUACACAUUUGUGGCACAUCAGACACACCCAAGGUGUACUUCAGCAAACCCCUGGGCAGCUCCUAUGCCAAUUAAAUUGACACUCUCAUGCUGACCUUCACAUCACACUCUAUGUUGACUUGCCAUCCAAACACUUCUCCUUAAACUAUACUUAACCUCCAAAUAAACACAAGGUCAUAAUUCCACCUAAUGUGAUACAACUAUCUGCAUUCCAUUAAAACACAAUAAUCCAAUUCCCAAAGUCUCAACAGUUCCAGCAUUUUUUAAAGAGCCAAACUCUUUUGAGAUAUCAAAUCACAAUCUUAGAUGAGACUUUCUAUAAAAAUUAAAGAAUUGUGUAAUCCCAGAUACAAUAACACAGCUUAAACAUUCCCCUUCCAAUAGGUAGAAAUAGAGAAAACUAAGUCUAAAGCGAGACAGUGAUCCAAAGGAAAAACAUUAAAUUUUCUUAACAUUAUAUUUAGUAUUCAGGAUAUAAGACUGUGAGAAAUGAGUUGCAGGGGACUUGGGUGCCCUCACACCUAUAGACUUGUUGGUGGCACUCACAUAUCCUCCCUCGUGGGCUGGCUCAGGUCACGGUCUGCAGUUUUCCUUUUGCCAAAAUCUCGAAUUAAAAAUUUGCACCUUUGUACCUUUAUGUGUGCAAUAAGUGGAGAUUUAAUGACUCCUAGGGUGCUCUCAAGGCAUCAUUCUUUUCCUGUACAAUCUAUUUGAUUCCUUUUUAAUGGCACGAAUCUCUUCAACAGCCACACAUCCUUUAGUCUCAACUUUAUAGAAAUUCUCUGCAGACCAUCUUUCAUUCCUUCUGGUUUUUACCUGCCCAUUUCUCUCAUCUUUGGUUUUUAUAAAUAUAAUUAAAUCUAUCCUGUGUUUCUGUUUCCAGAAUCACUUAUUUCAAAUCAUCAUUUCCCAUCUGGAUAAAUAUAUUAGCUUUUUAACUGGUCUUUCCUUACUCCCUUUCGUUUAUUUCCACAUGGUAUAACUUUCUAGUAAACUUUUAUCUAAAACAUAUAUUUGACUAUUUAUCACCAAGUCAAACAGCAGAAAGAAGACUAUAUACAUAUUUAUGUGGGUCAAGGUGUCUCACUGAGGAUUUAGUUUAGAGAAUUGUAACAAAAGUAGUAUUUUGUUGAUCUCAGUCUUACUGUCUGUGAAGAUUUCUCAGUCCAUCUGAGAUACUAUAACAAAAUACCAUAGACUCAGUAGUUUAUAAACAUUUGAAAUUUAUUUCUUACAGUUCUCAAGGCUGGGAAGCUCAUGAUCAAGGUGCUGAUAUACUGGAUUUUUGAUAAGGAUUUGUUUCCUAGUUCAUAGAUGGAGCCUUCUCUCUGUAUAUGCACAUUGUCGAAAAUGUAAAGCAUGCCAGUGGGGCCUUUUGAGUAAGGAUCCUAACCUCAAUUGUGGAGUUCCAACUCCUGUGAUCUAAUUAUCUCCCAGUGAUCCCUCUCCUAAUAUCCCUUUAGAGAUUAGUUUGAAACAUCUGAAUUUUAGGAAACAUAAAUACUCAGAAUAUUGUGUCGUGUGAAAAAGACCAAGAAAAUGCAAUUUUUAGAAGAAAGUGUCAGUUUUUGAAAUCUAAUAAAAAUCACUACAUAAAUGUAUAAUUUUUCUUUUUCUUUUAAAUGCUAAAUUCCACAAAAAGCAUGCUAACAUAAUAAAAUGGACUACAUUAGACUUUCCAUAAAAAUAAAUAUCACUUAAACAUAUCAAAACUGUACAUGACACCAGUUAUUUUACCCAUAGGUUAAAGAAUGAAUAUAAUGAUAUCCUGCUACAAUUUCCUGCUUUGAUCAGGGAUAUUAUUCAUUAAAUAAACUAUACAUUUUCUGUCAUAAGGGAUAUGUGUUACUUUCUAGUUUAAAUGUGCUUCUAGAACACAAGUAAUGUAUUCUACAUCCUUAUUACAAAACUCUAAUACUACACAUGUACAUGAGUUAAGUGUGAACCAGUUCUCUUUGAUGGGUUCUGCUCAUAUUGUAAAUGUGAAUAGAAACUAAUGGAAUCAUGCUAAUUUGAAGACAUUCUGUUUAGGACACAUAUUUAUGCUUUUAUGAUUAUAGUUUCUCACACAAAGUUAUCUAUCUAUCUAUCUAUUCUCUCAUAAAAAUGCCAAGUGAAUUCUACAACAAAUAUUUACAAGUUCAUCUUUAAUGUACUCUCCUUUUCUAGUUAAAAGUAACCUAAUGGUCUAUUGGAAAAUACAGCCCUCCUUCCUUGCCAACCCUCAUUAGUAGAUAAGAUAGACGCACCCUUGCUUCAUUUGAUCUGUUUGUUUAAUCCGCAUUGCUCUCCUCCAGGGCAUAACGACUGGUUUCUGAAUGAAUUUUGAGCCUAUCUGAGCCAGCGCAAAAGGAGUCACGUGAUUGAAAUUUAUAAGAAGAUGUAAGAUUAAUAUGAAUCUGAAAAGUCAAUAGAUAAGCAUGUGGAGUUCAUCAAAGAUGCUGACAAGACCAGUUUGGGUGCAGUGAAAAAUGAAAAUUUAAAUGAAGAGGUUUACAGCAACAGUGGGUAAGACGAGACAAAGCGGCAGCAUCUGGAUUUCUGACUUGCCCUGGCUUUUGAAUAAUGAGUCACAAAACCUUAAUUCAGCUGUGAAUCCAUCAGGACCUGGGUUUUUCUACGUUGGAUCUCGCUAUUGGUGCAGGCUGACCUUGAACUUAUGUAGCCCAAGCUGGCCUCAAACUUGCAGCGAUCCUUUUGUCUCAAGAAAGUCCUGAGGAAAAGAAGUCAAAGAUUUGAAGCAUCAGGUUGAUUUAAAGUGUCUCAUUGGCUUGCAGAUGAGGGAGAUGUGGGAAGGAUGUGAAAACGGAGCUGAGAGCAAUUUCUGGCUAACAAGUGACAAAGAAACAAGUACCUACAAGUGCCUGCAUCCUAUAAUAAUUGGGAACUGAAUUCCGCCAGUAACAGAGAUGACUUUGGAAGCUGCUUCUAACCCAGAACUUUCAGAUAAAUAUCCAACUCUAAGAACACAACUAGAAAAUCCAAUUCACCCUACUCUAGACUUUUGACAUGUAGAAGUAUAAGCUAAUAAAUGAAUUUUGUUUUUUAAGCUGCUGAGUAUAUGGAAAUUUGUUAUUCUGUGAUAGAAAAUGAAUAGCCAUAUAAAUAGAAACAUAGAGCAUUUAGUUAUUUAAAACUUGUUUGUUUCAUUCAAUAUCCUUAAGACAUUUGAGAUUCAUAUGUAUUAUUAUGUGAGUCACUGGGUAGUAUUCUAUAGAAUGAACACACCACAAUUUGCUUACUCGUUUAUUUUUGUGUUUCUUAUUCCCGGCAACUAGGAAAAAAAGCUAUUUCUACUACUAGUGUAUAAAUUUUAUAGAAAUUGUUUUAAUUUUUCCUGUAUUGCUACCUAGGAGUGAAAUUUCUACAUGACACAAGGUAUGCUAAAAUCUAUAAAAACUGUCAAAUUGUAUUUUUACUAGCAUAGCAAGUUUGGUAUUUGUAUCAGUAAUAUAUGAGUCCUAGUAAAUAUCAUCAAUCACAUUUACUUUAGCUGUGAAAAUAGCUAUAUAGUGGUGUGUUGUUGAAUCUGCUUUUAAAAAUGUUUAUCACAAACUUUGGAGGUUCUGCAAAAGUUAUCACCUUUGAAAUAAUGUGGCAUAAAUAUUAGCAUGUUUCAGUAUGUCCACUUUAAAAAUCACAUCUUGAAAAUGUACCUUUGUGAUAGGAAAUAAGUUCAAGUGAGGAUAUGGACAAAUUUAAAGUGUCAUACAUUGCUGGUGGGAAUGAAAAAUGGUACAGCAGCUGUGGAAAGCAGUUGCCAGGUACUCAGUUAAACGAACUUCCCAUUGAGCCAAAGUUAAACACACAUACACACAAAAGCUUCUACAGCAGGGUUCUUGAUAUCCUAAGUGCGGAAACAACCCAAAGGUCCAUUAAGUGAUAGGCAAAAGGCGGUAUAUCUGUAUGAUGGAAGUUAGCCAUAAAAUGGAAUGCAUUGUUUUCUUAAAAAAAUACACCUUUGAUCCAGACAAUCAUGUUUUAAUUAAUAUUUCUGUAUUGAUACAUUAAAAAAGUAAAUUUGAGCUAAGAAACAUUUAUAUUCAACAUUUAUUGUAUCAGCUAUCCCCCAGGAACCAGAUUUCACCAUAACAGAUGGCCCUUCCCUGAAGAAUUUCAUGCCCACUGGAGAAACAGACACAUAUAAAUUUAAUAGUGCCUAGUAAUUGUCAGAGUGGAAGUAUGUAAGAUGUGUUGAUAGGUCACAGGUGAGAGAGCAAAGAAUUCUGCCUAAGAGACCACGUUGGUGAGAUUACAAGAUAUGAGCUAUAAUUACAGUUAUGCAAUGACUGAAAGUGAAACUUGGAAUUAGCACUGAGUAUUAUAUUUGCAUAAAAUAUACAGCUAGUGUUUAAAUGGAAUCAUUUUGUAUAAUCUAAUGAUAAAAGAUUUUUCUCUCAGUUUCUUUCAUGUGUUUGGAAUCUUUCCCAAAUAACUGUAUUAGGGAUAUCAAUACACACAACGUAAACCAUGAAAUUGUGGACUUCCAUUUGUAGGAUUCUUAUUCUUACAAAUGUGUUUUCAUAGUAGAGGACCAAAAUUGGCCUAACAAAGAUUCCUAGAAUUUUAAGGGAACCAGCAAACACUGUUGACAAGAUUUUUGGUAGAAUCUUUGUAGUCUUGUUGAGUCUUUUGUCUUGAAAUUAGAAUUAUUCAAAAAUCAUUUAAAUUAAUCAAUAGUUUAUAGAGUAUUAGUAUUGAUUAAUUAUUAAUUAUUGUGUCCAUGUAUGCAUACACAUGCAUGCCAAUCAUAAGGCUUGUAAUCUGCUCAUUCUGUGACCUUAAAAUUUCUUUUUCAUGAGCAACUUAACAAUAUUCUCAUAUGAAUUAUAUAUACAUGCUAAACAAUUAAAAAGUUAAAGAUAAUAACAUGUAUUAACUUUUGUUAUUUUCUUAUGAAAUUUUUAAUUUAAAAAUUUUGUUUUACUUUUUCAUAAGAUAAAAAAAAACCAAAAUGGCUUUACCAGCAUCACACGCCCACCCCCCACCCCCGCAAAGAAUACAUAGUUAGUUUUAUAUUGACCAGAGAUAUUUAUUUGGAGAGCUGUGCCGAAGUACCAGAGUAUAAAGCAUAAAGUCCAAAGAUGUUGCCUACAAGUAUCUUAAAGUCCUAUUUAUGUUUGGACAUGUCUCUUUCAAGUGUCUCUCAUAAAUUAUAUACAUAUGAUAAUUUUUUUCAAAAGUACAAGUGUAGCUUUGUUUUUACAGUAUAUGCAAUAUUCCCUAUAUCCUGGCCCUGAGGAUCAAUGCUAGGGCUGACAUAGGGGAGCAAGUGAGAGGAAACAAAUUUUGCCAAACAACUUAACAAUUCCACAUAAUGGAAUAAAUGUAGGGCUAAUCAUUUCAAAAUUAGAAAAUUAUUAUUCAAAAGGCAAUCUCAUGUACAAUACCACAGUUCUAAAGAAAACAUUUGGAUAUUUUUAGUUGUAUUCCAUUUUAACCUUCAGGAGCAUUUUCAUUGAGGUAACAUUUAUUUCUGAGAUGUGUAAUCUGGGCUCAGCAGGUUGCAAUGCUAGAGACUUUGAUGUUCACCAAGUUUGUUUAUGAACUGUGCUAGAGAUGGCAAUCCAAUAUCUUCAAGGAAAAUUCAGAGACAAACAUAGCACACAUUUUUUUUUUCUGUUCUGUUCAUAAUUGUGUCUUUACUGCCUGAAUGUAACCAAGGGCUUGUUAGAAAUGUAAACAAGAUUGCCUUUGUGCACCAAAGAGAAUGUGAUUGGUGUACCAAUAUCAAAAGCCAGCACAUUUUAGGUGAUGCAAAAUAUGCUAGAAUGUGUGCAGUAUCCUGAAGCACUUCUAAAACUGUCUGAAGCAGAAAAUAGGCACUGAUUCUACAGUAUUAUAUGUGAUUUGUGUAUAAUAACAUCAUUAAAGUAUUAACAAUGUUU